AGUUGUUUUAUGUUCUUGUUUUUUUUAGAGUUUCUUGUUUCUAAUUACUACACCCCACUUUAUAAUAUGCCCUCACAUAUCCACCACUCUCACUCUUCAUAUCUUGAACUUAACUAAAAAAGUAUCAAACUUAUUUACCAAAAAUAAAAACAAUCUUUUACUCCUUUAUCUACUAAAGUUUCAAACUUUGGAAUCAAGUUCUUGUUUU
rnacentral:lncRNA from 1 species